CUACAGAACGAACGCUGGCGGCAUGCCUAACACAUGCAAGUCGAACGAGACCUUCGGGUCUAGUGGCGCACGGGUGCGUAACACGUGGGAAUUUGCCUCGGGGUAUGGAAUAACUCAGGGAAACUUGAGCUAAUACCAUAUAAUGUCUUCGGACCAAAGAUUUAUCGCCCUGAGAUAAGCCCGCGUAGGAUUAGCUAGUUGGUGGGGUAAAGGCUCACCAAGGCGACGAUCCUUAGCUGGUCUGAGAGGAUGAUCAGCCACACUGGGACUGAGACACGGCCCAGACUCCUACGGGAGGCAGCAGUGGGGGAAUAUUGGACAAUGGGCGAAAGCCUGAUCCAGCAAUGCCGCGUGAGUGAUGAAGGCCUUCGGGUUGUAAAGCUCUUUUACUCGGGACGAUAAUGACGGUACCGAGAGAAUAAGCCCCGGCUAACUCCGUG
rnacentral:rRNA from 1 species